GAUGAACGCUGGCGGCGUGCCUAAUGCAUGCAAGUCGAACGGGGAAUGAAAUUUCGGUUUUAUUCUUAGUGGCGCACGGGUGAGUAACACGUAAGCAAUCUACCCUUCAGUGGGGGAUAACUCCGAGAAAUCGGAGCUAAUACCGCAUGAUGUGUUGGGGUAAAGCCCAAACACCAAAGCCUUCGGGCGCUGAUGGAGGAGCUUGCGGCCUAUCAGGUAGUUGGUGAGGUAACGGCUCACCAAGCCUAUGACGGGUAGCUGGUUUGAGAGGAUGAUCAGCCACAUUGGGACUGAGACACGGCCCAGACUCCUACGGGUGGCAG
rnacentral:rRNA from 1 species